rnacentral:rRNA from 1 species
GACGAACGCUGGCGGCGUGCCUAAUACAUGCAAGUCGAACGCACUCUCGUUUAGAUUGAAGGAGCUUGCUCCUGAUUGAUAAACAUUUGAGUGAGUGGCGGACGGGUGAGUAACACGUGGGUAACCUGCCCUAAAGUGGGGGAUAACAUUUGGAAACAGAUGCUAAUACCGCAUAAAACCUAAACACCGCAUGGUGUAGGGUUGAAAGAUGGUUUCGGCUAUCACUUUAGGAUGGACCCGCGGUGCAUUAGUUAGUUGGUGAGGUAAAGGCUCACCAAGACCGUGAUGCAUAGCCGACCUGAGAGGGUAAUCGGCCACACUGGGACUGAGACACGGCCCAGACUCCUACGGGAGGCAGCAGUAGGGAAUCUUCCACAAAGGACGAAAGUCUGAUGGAGCAACGCCGCGUGAGUGAAGAAGGUUUCGGAUCGUAAAACUCUGUUGUUGGAGAAGAAUGUAUCUGAUAGUAACUGAUCAGGUAGUGACGGUA